UACAGAGGUCCCAAGCGUUGUUCGGAUUCAUUGGGCGUAAAGGGCGCGUAGGCGGCGGGGUCAGUCGGGUGUGAAAUCUUGGGGCUUAACCCCGAAACGGCACUCGAAACUGCCCGGCUGGAGGGCCGGAGAGGAGAUCGGAAUUCACGGUGUAGAGGUGAAAUUCGUAGAUAUCGGGAGGAACACCGGUGGCGAAGGCGAGUCCCUGGACAACACCUGACACUGAGGCACGAAAGCUAGGGGAGCAAACAGG
rnacentral:rRNA from 1 species